GAUCAUGGCUCAGGAUGAACGCUGGCGGCGCGCCUAACACAUGCAAGUCGAACGGCACCCACCUUCGGGUGGAAGCGAGUGGCGAACGGCUGAGUAACACGUGGAGAACCUGCCCCCUCCCCCCGGGAUAGCCGCCCGAAAGGACGGGUAAUACCGGAUACCCCGGGUGCCGCAUGGCACCCCGGCUAAAGCCCCGACGGGAGGGGAUGGCUCCGCGGCCCAUCAGGUAGACGGCGGGGUGACGGCCCACCGUGCCGACAACGGGUAGCCGGGUUGAG
rnacentral:rRNA from 1 species